rnacentral:lncRNA from 1 species
AACCAAUUUAAGGACCAGGAAAGAUAGAGCGCAGGCGUCGACAAACUUAAUAUUCAAAUAAAACAUGUGAAAUGUCUUCACAAACAUUAUAUUAAAAGAUCUUUGUUGUCGACGUAUGCGCUCUAUGUUUCCUGUCUAAUAAUCUAUGGGAAAUUUACCCAUUUUCAUUGAUUUUUUCGUGAAAAAUCAAUAUGAGUACAACUUGUGACGUCAUAAUGAAACACAAAAACGUAAAAUUUUCAAAAAAUGGCUUAUUUCCUAUCUAGUCACUGUAUAAGCUAUAAUUUAUUGUGAUAUUGGUCAAUAAAUCCGAAUUUGAAAUUGACGCUAAAAAUGGGGGCC